CCGUCGUACUUUCUCUCGCUGCAUUUUAUUUUUAUUUUUAUUUUAUUAAUUUGGCGGAUCAUCAUCGUCAUCAUUAUCAUCGUCGUCCACCUUCGCCUUUUCGCCGCUCUGUCACAGGUAGAGAGAGAGCGAAAACACUUUCGUCUCUGCCACUGCAAAUCUGCAACUUCGAUUUGUAUAAAAUUACACAAAUCAACCUUAUCUUCCAUUUCUGUUUCGUUCUUCUUCUUCUGUCUUCACUUCUUGCUGUACCGUUUCAAUUUACAAUUGAACUCUCUGUUGUCUCUGAUCCGACGGCUACAAUCUUCUCGGUCUCCUUCAAUCGUCCGGCCAGGGAUUCCUUGCCCUAACACCUUGCAGGUUGUCUCUUAAUUACAGGCCAUGAUGGAGCCUAAUGGCCAUAGGAGGCUGAGGAGAAAGGACAAUCAUGUCAAUGAAAAUGGUGAUGUUGACCAAUCAAGUAUUGAUGACGAAUUUGAUCCAUGGACUGCAUGGGCAUAUAAACCUCAUACCAUUUCAUUGCUACUGAUCGGUGCUUGUUUUCUGAUUUGGGCAAGUGGUGUGCUUGACACGGAAAGUGGUGCUUCAGGUGAUAUGAUAACGUCAGUCAAAAGGGGUGUACUGGCAAUGAUUGCUGUCUUUCUUGCAUAUUGUUUGCUGCAGGCUCCAUCAACGAUCCUUAUUAGGCCUCAUCCUGCACUUUGGCGGUUGGUUCAUGGGAUGGCUGUUGUUUACCUUGUCUCCCUCACAUUUUUGCUUUUCCAAAAGCGUGAUGAUGCUCGACAAUUUAUGAGGUUUCUACAUCCUGAUCUUGGUGUUGAGCUCCCUGAAAGGUCAUAUGGUGCUGAUUGCCGGAUUUAUGUGCCUGAAAGUCCUACAAACAGGUUUAAGAAUGUUUAUGACACACUUUUUGAUGAAUUUGUUUUAGCUCAUAUCUUUGGAUGGUGGGGUAAGGCUAUAUUAAUCCGUAAUCAACCCCUUCUGUGGGUGCUAUCAAUUGGAUUUGAGCUGUUGGAGUUUACCUUUAGGCACAUGUUACCGAACUUUAAUGAGUGCUGGUGGGACAGUAUAAUUCUCGAUAUUCUGAUUUGCAAUUGGUUUGGUAUCUGGGCGGGCAUGCAUACUGUCAGGUAUUUUGAUGGGAAAACAUAUGAGUGGGUUGGAAUAAGCCGCCAGCCCAAUAUUUUAGGCAAAGUCAAACGAACAUUGGGACAAUUUACACCAGCGAAAUGGGAUAAAGACGAGUGGCAUCCCUUGCUUGGUCCCUGGCGUUUCCUUCAAGUUAUAAGUCUCUGCAUUGUUUUUAUGACAGUAGAGCUUAACACAUUUUUUCUCAAGUUCUCUCUGUGGAUUCCUCCUCGAAACCCUUUAAUCAUCUAUAGGUUGAUAUUGUGGUGGUUGAUUGCAAUUCCCACAAUUCGUGAAUACAACUCAUACCUUCAAGACAGAAAACCUGUGAAAAAAGUUGGAGCAUUUUGUUGGCUGUCCCUUGCUAUAUGCAUUAUUGAACUACUCAUUUGCAUCAAGUUCGGACAUGGUCUCUAUCCUAAACCAAUGCCUAUGUGGCUGCUGAUUUUUUGGAUAUCUAUAGCGAUGGUCCUCGUGAUAUUCCUGGCAGUAUGGUCUUGGCAGCUGCAUAGGAACUUGAGGAGAAAGAGACAAUAAUUUUGCAGUGUGGUUUUAAAAAGGGCUGGAAGUUUUGGGUAUUUAUAGCGCAUGAUUUGCUUGCUCAAGCUUUGGUCCGUAGACAUCUGGUUAAGCGAUAAAAGCAUGCUUGUGCGUCUAAGUAUAGGGGAAUGCCAUAAUCAGGACAGGGACAUACCAGAUUGGAUAGUGAUCUACUUGAAGUUGCAUUCUGGAGACGACCCAGAUGAGAUUGUUCCUCAUCAUUCCAUGUGUAGCUCCGAAUCCAUUCCCCAGGAGUCCCGACAUCCAGACGUGAUUCAGUGCUGUUUCCUACACACACAUUGAAAUGCUUCUAAGAACACAUGUUAAGGGGAUGAACAAUAUAGCAAGUUCAAGUGUUUUUUUAUCACCUGAAAUAGGUUUAGUAUGCUGUCAAUUGUUGCAGUCUUGUCAGGACCUACUUCGUAGGAUCGGAUAACAACUGUCUGCCUGUAUCCGACACCGCCUUCUAUCAUAAGCCCCUGGCGAUGAGGAUCCACAAACUGUUUCUUGGUUGGAAUAUUUUGCCUUA